rnacentral:siRNA from 1 species
GAUUUAGGUAUAUUUCAGCCCAAA